rnacentral:rRNA from 1 species
CCAGACUCCUACGGGAGGCAGCAGUGGGGAAUAUUGCACAAUGGGGGAAACCCUGAUGCAGCGACGCCGCGUGAAGGAAGAAGUAUUUCGGUAUGUAAACUUCUAUCAGCAGGGAAGAAAAUGACGGUACCUGACUAAGAAGCCCCGGCUAACUACGUGCCAGCAGCCGCGGUAAUACGUAGGGGGCAAGCGUUAUCCGGAUUUACUGGGUGUAAAGGGAGCGUAGGCGGUUUAGCAAGUCAGAAGUGAAAGCCCGGGGCUCAACUCCGGGACUGCUCUUGGAACUGCGCGGCUGGAGUGCAGGAGGGGCAGGCGGAAUUCCUGGUGUAGCGGUGAAAUGCGUAGAUAUCAGGAGGAACACCGGUGGCGAAGGCGGCCUGCUGGACUGCGACUGACGUUGAGGCCCGAAAGCGUGGGGAGCAAACAGGAUUAGAUACCCGUGUA